rnacentral:misc_RNA from 1 species
GUGCAAUAUUUUGUAUAGUUGUAGACAUGAUCAUCAAUUUGAGACUUGUUUGGGUUAGGGGUUUUGGUUCUUGAAGAGUGUAAACAAGCUUUAAUGGUGAAAAUGGAUAGUUUAUUGUUGUUAUAAGGAGAAAUUGUUAGUACAUUUUUGAGAAGAAAUGGUGAUCCAAGUAAAUUAGUGGACAUGGAAGCAAAUUGUAUGGAGGGAGGAGAAUAUGUGGC